rnacentral:rRNA from 1 species
ACUCAAAUGAAUUGACGGGGACCCGCACAAGCGGUGGAUGAUGUGGAUUAAUUCGAUGCAACGCGAAAAACCUUACCUACCCUUGACAUGGUCCAGACCUUUCAGAGAUGAAGGGGUGCUCGCAAGAGAAUGGAUACACAGGUGCUGCAUGGCUGUCGUCAGCUCGUGUCGUGAGAUGUUGGGUUAAGUCCCGCAACGAGCGCAACCCUUGUCAUUAAUUGCCAUCAUUAAGUUGGGCACUUUAAUGAGACUGCCGGUGACAAACCGGAGGAAGGUGGGGAUGACGUCAAGUCCUCAUGGCCCUUAUGGGUAGGGCUUCACACGUCAUACAAUGGUGCAUACAGAGGGUUGCCAACCUGCGAAGGGGAGCUAAUCUCAGAAAGUGCAUCGUAGUCCGGAUUGUAGUCUGCAACUCGACUGCAUGAAGUUGGAAUCGCUAGUAAUCGCGGAUCAGCAUGUCGCGGUGAAUACGUUCCCGGGUCUUGUACACACCGCCCGU